rnacentral:rRNA from 1 species
AAGCAGGGGAUCGUAAGACCUUGCGCUUUUGGAGUGGCCGAUGCCUGAUUAGCUAGUUGGUGGGGUAAAGGCCUACCAAGGCGACGAUCAGUAGUUGGUCUGAGAGGACGACCAGCCACACUGGGACUGAGACACGGCCCAGACUCCUACGGGAGGCAGCAGUGGGGAAUUUUGGACAAUGGGCGAAAGCCUGAUCCAGCAAUGCCGCGUGAGUGAAGAAGGCCUUCGGGUUGUAAAGCUCUUUCAGCCGGGAAGAAAAGGUUGCGACUAAUAAUCGCAAUUCAUGACGGUACCGAAAGAAGAAGCACCGGCUAACUACGUGCCAGCAGCCGCGGUAAUACGUAGGGUGCGAGCGUUAAUCGGAAUUACUGGGCGUAAAGGGUGCGCAGGCGGUUUUGUAAGUCAGAUGUGAAAUCCCCGGGCUUAACCUGGGAACUGCGUUUGAAACUACAAAGCUUAG